AACGCUGGCGGCGUGCCUAACACAUGCAAGUCUUACGAAGCUUUGAGGAGCUUGCUUUUUAAAGCUUAGUGGCGGACGGGUGAGUAACGCGUGAGCAACCUGCCUCUCAGAGGGGGAUAACGUUUUGAAAAGAACGCUAAUACCGCAUAAUAUAUCGGAACCGCAUGAUUCUGAUAUCAAAGGAGCAAUCCGCUGAGAGAUGGGCUCGCGUCCGAUUAGUUAGUUGGUGAGGUAACGGCUCACCAAGACUACGAUCGGUAGCCGGACUGAGAGGUUGAUCGGCCACAUUGGGACUGAGACACGGCCCAGACUCCUACGGGAGGCAGCAGUGGGGGAUAUUGCGCAAUGGGGGAAACCCUGACGCAGCAACGCCGCGUGAAGGAAGAAGGUCUUCGGAUUGUAAACUUCUUUUGUCAGGGACGAAGAAAGUGACGGUACCUGACGAAUAAGCUCCGGCUAACUACGUGCCAGCAGCCGCGGUAAUACGUAGGGAGCGAGCGUUGUCCGGAUUUACUGGGUGUAAAGGGUGCGUAGGCGGCCGAGCAAGUCAGUUGUGAAAACUAUGGGCUUAACCCAUAACGUGCAAUUGAAACUGUCCGGCUUGAGUGAAGUAGAGGUAGGCGGAAUUCCCGGUGUAGCGGUGAAAUGCGUAGAGAUCGGGAGGAACACCAGUGGCGAAGGCGGCCUACUGGGCUUUAACUGACGCUGAGGCACGAAAGCAUGGGUAGCAAACAGGAUUAGAUACCCUGGUAGUCCAUGCCGUAAACGAUGAUUACUAGGUGUGGGGGGACUGACCCCUUC
rnacentral:rRNA from 1 species